rnacentral:rRNA from 1 species
GAACGCUGGCGGCGUGCUUAAUACAUGCAAGUCAAGGAGAACGUUUCCUUCGGGAAAUUAUUAAACUGGCGAACGGGUGAGUAACACGUAGGCAACCUGCCUUGAAGAUUGGGAUAACCCCGGGAAACCGGGACUAAUACCGGAUAAUGCACCAUUUUCUUCGGAAAAUAUUGUUAAAGCGGGCUUCGGCUCGCACUUCAAGAUGGGCCUGCGUCCGAUUAGCUUGUUGGUAAGGUAACGGCUUACCAAGGCUGUGAUCGGUAGCUGGUCUGAGAGGAUGAUCAGCCACACUGGGAUUGAGAUACGGCCCAGACUCCUACGGGAGGCAGCAGUAGGGAAUUUUGCGCAAUGGACGAAAGUCUGACGCAGCAACGCCGCGUGAUCGAUGAAGCUUCUAGGAGUGUAAAGAUCUGUCGUGAGGGAAGAAAAAUCUGGAUGUAAAUAAUGUUCAGACUUGACGGUACCUUACAAGAAAGCACCGGCUAACUUCGUGCCAGCAGCCGCGGUAAUACGAGGGGUGCUAGCGUUGUCCGGAAUAACUGGGCGUAAAGGGUCCGUAGGCGUUUUGCCAAGUUGAUCGUUAAAGCCACCGGCUCAACCGGUGAUCUGCGAUCAAAACUGGCAGGAUAGAAUAUGUGAGGGGAAUGUGGAAUUCCUGGUGUAGCGGUGACAUGCGUAGAUAUCAGGAGGAACACCAAUGGCGAAGGCAGCAUUCUGGCACAAUAUUGACGCUGAGGGACGAAAGCGUGGGGAGCGAACAGGAUUAGAUAC